rnacentral:rRNA from 1 species
GAGGGUGCGAGCGUUAAUCGGAAUUACUGGGCGUAAAGCGCGCGUAGGCGGUAUGUCAAGUCAAGGGUGAAAUCCCCGGGCUCAACCCGGGAACUGCCUUUGAAACUGUCAAACUGGAGUGUGUGAGAGGGUGGCGGAAUUCCAGGUGUAGGAGUGAAAUCCGUAGAUAUCUGGAGGAACACCAGUGGCGAAGGCGGCCACCUGGCACAUAACUGACGCUGAGGUGCGAAAGCGUGGGUAGCAAA